rnacentral:rRNA from 1 species
GACGAACGCUGGCGGCGUGCUUAACACAUGCAAGUCGAACGGAAAGGCCCUGCUUUUGUUGGGUGCUCGAGUGGCGAACGGGUGAGUAACACGUGAGUAACCUGCCCUUGACUUUGGGAUAACUUCAGGAAACUGGGGCUAAUACCGGAUAGGAGCUCCUGCUGCAUUGUGGUGGUUGGUAAGUUUCGGCGGUUGGGGAUGGACUCGCGGCUUAUCAGCUUGUUGGUGGGGUAGUGGCUUACCAAGGCUUUGACGGGUAGCCGGCCUGAGAGGGUGACCGGCCACAUGGGGACUGAGAUACGGCCCAGACUCCUACGGGAGGCAGCAGUGGGGAAUAUUGCACAAUGGGCGGAAGCCUGAUGCAGCAACGCCGCGUGCGGGAUGACGGCCUUCGGGUUGUAAACCGAUUUCGCCUGUGACGAAGCGUGAGUGACGGUAAUGGGUAAAGAAGCACCGGCUAACUACGUG